rfam:Triticum aestivum genome assembly, contig: Triticum_aestivum_CS42_TGACv1_scaffold_577321_7BL
AAUGUACUUCCUCGGUCCGGAAAUACUUGUCAUUAAAAUGGAUAAAAGAAGAUGUAUGUAGACAAAUUUUAGUUCUAGUUACAUCUCUCUUUAUCCAUUUUGAUAACAAGUAUUUUCGGACGGAGGGAGUACGUG